ACCUGGUUGAUCCUGCCAGUAGUGAUAUGCUUGUCUCAAAGAUUAAGCCACGCAAGUCUAAGUAUAAAUCGUUUUUACUGAUGAAACUGCGAACGGCUCAUUAAAUCAGUUAUAGUUUAUUUGAUGGUACUGGGACUUGUCCCAACUACAUGGAUAACUGUAGUAACCUAGAGCUAAUACAUGCAAAACAAUCUGACUUUUUGGAAAGAUUGGCACUUAUUAGAUAUCAAACUAAUACCUUCGGGUUUAUUAGGUGAAUCAUAAUAACUGAACAGAUCGCAUGGUCUUGUACCGGCGACGUUUCAUUCAAAUUUCUGCCCUAUCAACUAGAUGUUAGUAUAUUGGACUAACAUGGUUUUUACGGGUGACGGGGAAUUGGGGUUCGAUUCCGGAGAAGGAGCAUGAGAAACGGCUACUACUUCUAAGGAAAGCAGCAGGCGCGCAAAUUAUUCAAUGGAAACAACUUUCCGAAAUAGUGACAAAAAAUAACAAUGCGUUAAUCAAUGAUUGAUGCAAUUGGAAUGAGUACAAUUUAAAACCCUUAACGAGAAACAAUUAGAGGGCAAGUCUGGUGCCAGCAGCCGCGGUAAUUCCAGCUCUAAUAGCGUAUAUUAAUGUUGUUGCAGUUAAAAAGCUCGUAGUUGAAACUUGAAUACUUAAUAAGUUUGGUCUAUCUUUAUGAUAUGACUACUUAUUGGUAUUCUUCCUACUAGAUACUCGAUUCUGUUCCUAAUUGAAUGGAAUAGCAGUUCUUCGGGAUUGUCGAUAGAUAUUUUUAGCUCCUCCAUAAAUUGGAUAAGCGUAAAAACUUUGAAGAUUUAUGAGUGGAUCAAGUUAAAGGUGUUUAUUGGAGUUCUAGUUCAUUUACUUUGAGAAAAUUAGAGUGUUUAAGGCAGCCUCUUGGGGCUCUGAAUACAUUAGCAUGGGAUAAUAGAAUAGGAUUUAGAUUUUAUAUUUGUUGGUUUGAAUUAUCUAAAUAAUGAUUAAUAGGGACAGUUGGGGGUAUUUAUAUUGGAUGGUUAGCGGUGAAAUGCAUGGAUCCAUUCAAGAUAAACUAAAGCGAAAGCAUUUACCAAGGAUGUUUUCAUUAAUCAAGAACGAAAGUUAAGGGAUCGAAGAUGAUCAGAUACCGUCAUAGUCUUAACUAUAAACUAUGCCGACCAGGGAUAUGAGUUGUUAUGAAUGCAUGUAUGUGUAUUCGAUUUCCUCUUGUGGACCUUGUGAGAAAUCAUAAGUCUUUGGGUUCUGGGGGGAGUAUGGUCGCAAGGCUGAAACUUAAA
rnacentral:rRNA from 1 species